UUCUUGAAAUAGAAAUACUGAGUCAAGGAGUAUGAACAACCCUUCCAGAGAACACUGCUAUGGGUCAAGGUCAAAGUCCUAAAUGGGGGAGGAUCAGAGCUGAUGCCCAAAGUGAAGCACAGAGAAGUGAAGUCACUUGUCCGAAGUCUCACAGCUAUGACAUAGCAGAAGUGGGAUUUAGUAGCCUAUCCCUGGAGCCCAUGCUCUAACUCAGGGACACAGUACCUGAGCCAUUUGCAGUGACUUGGCUGUCCCAGGUAGAGUUCUGGAAUCUGAAUCAGGAAAUCUACACCGAGCUAUUCAUCACCGUCCAGCCAGCUCUCCAUCUUCUAUUCAUUCAGUCAAACAAGA